GGGGGUUUCUCUGACCAAGCGCUUGGAUUUCUGAGAAGUCCCCGGAGGGGAGAGAGAACGAGACAGAGAACCCGACGAGAGGGAGGCUGAACUGCCUACUCACCCAGGCAUUGGUGACCGGUGUGGAUGUGUAGUGUCAGCAAUGGCAAAGGGUCCUGUGGUAUUUCCUUUGACAAAGCAGGACAGGACCACAAGCAAGUCAUACAAGUGAUUUCUAGAAGCUAGAAAAGGAAAGAAAACAGAUUCUAUUCCAGGACUUUGAAAAGGAAUGCAGCUCUGUCAACACCUUGAUGUUAGAACAUCUGACCUCUAGAACUGUAAGAGAAUAAAUUGAAGGGCCGGGGAU
rnacentral:lncRNA from 1 species